AGCAGCCGCGGUAAUUCCAGCUCCAAUAGCGUAUAUUAAAGUUGUUGCAGUUAAAAAGCUCGUAGUUGAAUUUCGGGGUCAGUAGGCUGGUCGUGCCACGGGUAUGUACUGGUCUUACUGAUUCCUCCUUCCUGAUGAACCGUAAUGCCAUUAAUUUGGUGUUGCGGGGAAUCUGGACUGUUACUUUGAAAAAAUUAGAGUGUUUAAAGCAGGCUAACGCUUGAAUACAUUAGCAUGGAAUAAUGAAAUAGGACGAUCGAUCCUAUUUUGUUGGUUUCUAGGAUUGACGUAAUGAUUAAUAGGGAUAGUUGGGGGCAUUAGUAUUCAAUUGUCAGAGGUGAAAUUCUUGGAUUUAUUGAAGACUAACUACUGCGAAAGCAUUUGCCAAGGAUGUUUUCAUUAAUCAAGAACGAAAGUUAGGGGAUCGAAGACGAUCAGAUACCGUCGUAGUCUUAACCAUAAACUAUGCCGACUAGGGAUCGGAUGAUGUUAAUUUUUUAAUGACUCAUUCGGCGCCG
rnacentral:rRNA from 1 species